rnacentral:piRNA from 1 species
UAGGUUAGGUUUCCGUAGCUGACAGA